AACUGGCUCUUUCAAGAAAAUUUCUAAUUCAUCUCUUAUAUCUUCUCCCUUCUCAUCAACCAGUUCCUUGUACACACAAUCCAUCUUCUCAUAACCAAAAUCUUCACUGACUAGCUCCAUUCUAUUCACGCCUUGUUCAUGAGACUCUUAAGUAGGCAGAGAUGAUGCUUGAUUCGACUGAGAUAAUUGUCCAGCAGCCCUCUGAAAUGAUUG
rnacentral:lncRNA from 1 species